AGGAGGAAAUCCUAUGUGUCUGCUCCCGGAGCUGCCACAACCCAUCUUCCCACAACUCGGAACUUGGAAAAAGGAACCCAGGACACGACUUUGCUUUUCUUUUGGACCUAGUUGAUACAAGUUAACAGGAUAUGCUUCUGGCCUGUUUCUGGAUUCUAAGGGUAGAACCAGCAUAAAACUAGUCAGUCCAAGUAUUUCUAAAGAUCCACAGACACAGUUCUCCUGGAUUUGGGAAGCCUAGAGAUAUUAGCACAAUAAUUAAGGCCCAACAACUUUUAAAAGCCUUUCCACUGCACAGUGAAAGAAAACCACAAACUCCUUGUUUAAUAAGUGGGAUCACGUGCUUUUAACACGAGGAAAAGGUCAAUCUGAAGCAACUGAUAUGGAACUGCCAGAGUAGGAGUUGAAAAUCUUCCUAAACUGCUGGAGGAUACACCUCUGAUAGCUUGAGACAAAUAUCCUCUUGAUCAUUGUUUCACCAUAUUUGUCUUUGCUCAUGGAGAACCAUUUUGAUCCGUGGUUUAGCCUCCCAGGUGAUUGAACAAUACCGGUGAUCUGAGGCAGACCCUCUGUGACGGAUAACAGAAAAGAAAAUUGAGGAUCAGAAAAUACGCACAAUUUGCAAAAACCAUGGGAAAGAAUAUUGAUUGAACAUCUACUCAAGAACUGCAAAACAGAGAUUACCUGACCUAAAGCAUUUAUAUUGCCAAUCAUGUUGGAGAGUCCAUGUGGUGAUUUCUGAAAACGAGAUGUGAGAAAGAAGAGGAUAAUUUAAGUCUAGACCUACAGAUUGUGCUGAUAAAGUGAUGAAGAACUACAAUCUUCUUAGUCAUUUCAUUGUAUAAGUGCAAUAAAGGGUAUGUAAUAAAUUUGUAUGUUCAUA
rnacentral:lncRNA from 10 species